rnacentral:tRNA from 1 species
GUGGAGAUUGCCGAGUGGUCAAAGGCGCUAGAAUGAGGAUCUAGUUCUUAGUGAUCCGGGAGUUCGAAUCUCCCUCUCCGCACCA